CGAAAGGAACGCUAAUACCGCAUACGUCCUACGGGAGAAAGCAGGGGACCUUCGGGCCUUGCGCUAUCAGAUGAGCCUAGGUCGGAUUAGCUAGUUGGUGGGGUGAAGGCUCACCAAGGCGACGAUCCGUAACUGGUCUGAGAGGAUGAUCAGUCACACUGGAACUGAGACACGGUCCAGACUCCUACGGGAGGCAGCAGUGGGGAAUAUUGGACAAUGGGCGAAAGCCUGAUCCAGCCAUGCCGCGUGUGUGAAGAAGGUCUUCGGAUUGUAAAGCACUUUAAGUUGGGAGGAAGGGCAUUAACCUAAUACGUUAGNGUUUUGACGUUACCGACAGAAUAAGCACCGGCU
rnacentral:rRNA from 1 species